rnacentral:rRNA from 1 species
AACCGGGAUUGCCUUAGUAACGGCGAGUGAAGCGGCAAAAGCUCAAAUUUGAAAUCUGGUACCUUCGGUGCCCGAGUUGUAAUUUGGAGAGGGCAACUUUGGGGCCGUUCCUUGUCUAUGUUCCUUGGAACAGGACGUCAUAGAGGGUGAGAAUCCCGUGUGGCGAGGAGUGCGGUUCUUUGUAAAGUGCCUUCGAAGAGUCGAGUUGUUUGGGAAUGCAGCUCUAAGUGGGUGGUAAAUUCCAUCUAAAGCUAAAUAUUGGCGAGAGACCGAUAGCGAACAAGUACAGUGAUGGAAAGAUGAAAAGAACUUUGAAAAGAGAGUGAAAAAGUACGUGAAAUUGUUGAAAGGGAAGGGCAUUUGAUCAGACAUGGUGUUUUGUGCCCUCUGCUCCUUGUGGGUAGGGGAAUCUCGCAUUUCACUGGGCCAGCAUCAGUUUUGGUGGCAGGAUAAAUCCAUAGGAAUGUAGCUUGCCUCGGUAAGUAUUAUAGCCUGUGGGAAUACUGCCAGCUGGGACUGAGGACUGCGACGUAAGUCAAGGAUGCUGGCAUAAUGGUUAUAUGCCGCCCGUCUUGAAACACGGACCUCCUGUGUGAAGU